AAAGAGUUGAAAAAAAGCACCAGCAUCGUCAAAUUGCUCUGCGAUGUUGCCGCGCCGGGUGUGGGUACUUUAAAUGGUAAUUUUAUCGCAAAGUUGGCAUUGUCUUAACGUACCGAAGCCGGUUGUUAUAUUCGUAUUUUUCACGGGUAUUUGUGUUACUUACGCGAGUAUAAUAUAGCUUUAGCUAUUCGGUGACCAUGUGGAGUGAUUUUCACGCUGUCAAGAACAUCAUCGUGAUGGUCGCUUUCUCCGGUGGCAGUGGCGUUCAGAAAAAUAAUUAAUCGUCGUAUUUAUGGUAUUUGCAAAAGACAAUAAAACUCCAGAACAAGGCAUUUCCAAUCUUAUAUUAUUUGAUUGCGAAAAACUGAAUUGAGAUGAAAAAAUGUCCAAUUCUAUGCACUUCAAGCGAUGUUCUAUUAUGAAAACUACGGGAUUUACACUUAUUGUUUCACCCAAAGAAGUGCACAAAAAAUGUGUCGUGAUGCAAACUGAUGAUGAAAAUAAGUUGUACAUAACUCCAGUAGUAAACUAUUUUGAACGAGAUUAAUGUCGUUAUAAAAAUCAAAAUUUAAUCCAAAAUACUGAAAAUAUUGUACCUAAAUAGAAUGUAUUGAUGUUGGAUUAAUAUAUAUUCGUAUUGAAAAUGAUACAUUUGCAGUUUCUGUCAAAUACCAUAGGCAAUUUUCUUACCUAAUAGACAGCACUUGAAAAUAAUGCAAGUGUUGCUACAGUAAAUUUAUCAACACCUUUUUUUAAAAUUCACUAGUAAUUUUUUCUACAUCGUUAAACUAUUACUCAUUCAGUUGAAAUUACUAGUACAUAGUAUGAAAGAGUAAAGCAUGAGUGAGUAUCCACACUAGUGAUAAUUUGUUAUUGGUACUCAAAAGUACUAGUAGUACAAAAGAAUAAGAAAUAAGCAAUUAUCCACGAUAGUAAUAAUUCAUUAAUGGUACUGAAAAAUACUAGUAGUUUACUGAAGGGAGCAGCAAUAUUUUUUCUUACUUAUGAUGGAACCUUAUUGGUACAAAAAAUUCACUAAUAGUUUAAAAUCAAUUACUGCCAUUUGAAAAUGGAACUUGUAGUAAGAGACUAAUAUUAAAAUUUAAACACUUGUAGUAGUCUAAAAAACUUCAAAAAAUUUCAUCAACUAGUAGAUGAAGAAUUACUAGAAGUAAAAAUUUUCAACUAUUAGUAAAUUCAAAAAACUAUGUACUAGUAUUUUUGAAAAACUAAUGAUAUUUUUUUACAUGGGUAGUGAAAUAUUUACUUUUAUUUUCAAUUUUGCUUAUCUAUUUUAUUUUAUUAUUUCGAGUUCUUGAUGCGAGUCUGCAGACCUUACUAAACAGCAAAUCUGGAACAUGUAUCAGCUAGCUGUGAAAUUUUGAAAAAAAUAUCCCAUGCAAAAAAAUAGUAGUACUGCCAGUAGUAACAAUUUGAACUUUUCAAGUAGUACUGCACAGUACUAGUGCAGUAUUACCACAGUACUACUUAACUACUGAACUUCAGUACUCCUAGAGCAUAAAUAGUAUUGAAGUACUACUGCAGUACUAUACUCAAGUACAAUACCAGUACUACUUCCAGUGUACUGUAAUACUGAACUACUGAACAAAAUAGUACAUGACUUUGAAAGAAGUACUGUAGUACUACUGCAGUACUACUAAUCUAUGAUUUUUUUGCUAGGGAUAUGUAGGUAUAUUUUUUAGAUUCAAAAAAAUCAGCAGAAAAUAUUUUCAACCUGUCGCUGAGCAAUUCCCAACUGCUAGGUAGCCUGUUUCCCGAUUGGCGAAAGUAGGUGAUCUGGAGCAAAAAAAUUGAAUAGCUGUGAAAUUUUGAAAAAAAAAUAUAUAUUUUUUAGAUUCAAAAAAAUGAGCAGAUAAUAUUUCCACCCUUCCCCCUCGCCAAAAAGAAGUCUGGUUUUGAUCUAAAUGUUCCGUUCAUGCUGUGUUUCAGUUUUGAUUUCACCCUCACUAUUUUUGGAUUUUAAUCAGAGGGCAAGAUCAGAAUCGAUUUUCAGUAAUAUUUUCGCGUGUACUCUUAAUCAAAUUAAACAAAAUCAUCCAUCUAUCGUAUAUUUUCUAAAUGGAGCAAUUUUUCAAAUAAUCUUCAUUAUUUCAGCCUCCUUUCAGCCCCUAUGAUCUCUCUGAAUACACUUUGCACCUGUUUGUUUCCGAAAUGAAAUAUACGAACUCGUAUAAAAUUCGAGUACGAGCCAAUCGUGCUGACGAUUCAUUUACGUGUCCGAAGCGUGCAUCUUUCUAUUGACACGAACAGCUGUUAUUGUUAAGCUUAUAGUUGGUGUAUUGUUGCGCGUACAUUUAUAUUGUCAGGUGUACGUACGUACGAUUUGACCCCAUACAUAACAAGUGUAUGGUGCGUACUGUGUACCUAGAAUUAAGGGGGAAAGUUGGCUGAUUAAUAGGAUGAUGGCCUUGCUAAAGGCAACCAUGACCCCAACCUUUAUAUGGUAAAAUAAACUCGGCAUGGCGUAUAGUAUGGUAAAUUAAUCUAAAAUGUAUUACUCGCUUGUGCUGAUGGGUUUGGGCGCACAAGAUCUCAUCUUGCGUGCAUACAAUGGCUCGAAGUUGAAUGAAAACAACACCGGCAGGAAGGGUGUCGUAUGUAUGAGUUUGAGUAUAGAGUUCGUCGUCGUCAUUGAUGUAUUGUGAUGAGGACAAGUUUUUCUAGUACUUCAUUUACGUAUGUAUGUAGGUUAAUGAAUUUUUUUUUUGUGUUAUAUUUUAUUUUAUUUUAUUUUAUUUUAUUUUAUUUUACAAUUUAGGUCUCUCCAACAGCUAAAGCCAAUUACAGGAGAGACCAUUUAUAAUUAAAGAGAUAAGACUAUGAUUUGCUCCAGAGAAACAAGUUUGGGAAAUACAAAAAUAAAAAAGCGAGCAAAAAGGAGAAAAAAAAACAAAAGAAAUAUUUACAAAUGUAGUUCUUCCUAUAUAAAAGAGAAGGUAAGAAAUAAGCAAAAAGGUGUAACACCAAAACAGAAGAAAUACUUAUAUAGAAAAAAAAAAAACAAACAAACAAACAAAAAAGAUAACUAAAAAUAUAAAACCAAAGGAAAA